rnacentral:lncRNA from 1 species
GCGCUGCUCCGUGCUGUGAGGCGGGGGGGAACGACAACUAAGUAGUUCUGCAGGCAUGUACGUGUGGAAAGUCAUGGGUACAGAUAAAGGAGGUGGAGACUGCAUUUAGCUUCUCAGGAAUUCCUUUCAUUUGUCUAUGCAAAUGCUAUACUUAUGGCAGAUGCAGAAAUAACAGCAUCAGCUGGAAUGGUGGAAUAUUUAAUUAAAAAGAUUCUGAAAUGAACUGCAAGAACAGACAGC